rnacentral:rRNA from 1 species
AUGCACAAAGAUACAGCUACAGCUUUAAGAUGGCAUGACGAAGAGCGCACAAAGGAUGGAGCAUCACGUCAUAUAGCUGAUUCAGAGGCUUGGAAGGCCAUUGAUUCUAAGUAUAAACACAUCGCGUCAGACCCCCGGAACAUGAGGUUUGGAGUAGGAGCUGAUGGGUUCAAUCCAUUUGGGAAGAUGAGUUCCAAACAUAGCUGUUGGCCCGUGGUCUUAGUGCCCUAUAAUCUUCCUCCAUGGUUAUGCAUGAAAGCCUCCUCUCUUCUGCUUACUUUGAUUAUUCCAGGUUACCCUGGAAAGAACUUCCAUGUAUUCAUGGAACCAGUUUAUGAGGAACUAGCUGAGUUGUUUGAAGUUGGAAUGUUAACAUAUGAUGCAUCUCGAGAUGAGACGUUCCAACUUUAUGCGGUUGUGUUGUGUACUGUGAGUGACUACCCUGGGCUUGCAAUUGCUUCAGGACAUAGCACCAGUUCUGAGUCCGUUUGUUUCCCGUGUAGUGAUGAAACUUGGUCUUUACGCUUGAAACAUGGGAGGAAGUUCUGUUUCAUGGGACAUCGCCGAUUUCUGCACCCAGACCAUGAGUUCCGCUAUGAAUCUGACUUGUUUGAUGGAUUGGAGGAACACAAAACAGAACCAACUCUUUAUUCUAAAGUUGGAGUUUUAGAUAAGAUAAAAUCAAUUAAGAACUUCGAUGAUUCCAAAACUUGGAAGUUUGUUAACGGGUUUUUCUCUCAUUUGACUUAUUGGGACUACAAUUUGCUCCGCCACAAUCUAGAUAUUAUGCACAUUGAAAAGAAUGUAUGUGAAAAUAUAUAUGGGACACUUCUAGGAAUAGAGGGCAAGUCAAAGGAUAAUUUAAAGGCACGACUUGACCUGCAGGACAUGAAAAUCAGGCCAGAGCUACAUCCUCAAAAAAAACAAUGA